rnacentral:piRNA from 1 species
ACGAUCAAUAAGCCUUUGGAAAGUCGC